rnacentral:rRNA from 1 species
UACGUAGGUGGCAAGCGUUGUCCGGAUUUAUUGGGUUUAAAGGGUGCGUAGGCGGUUCUAUAAGUCAGUGGUGAAAUCCGGCAGCUCAACUGUCGAUGUGCCAUUGAUACUGCAGAACUUGAGUACAGACGAGGUAGGCGGAAUUGACGGUGUAGCGGUGAAAUGCUUAGAUAUCGUCAAGAACACCGAUAGCGAAGGCGGCAUCCUGGACCGGUAUUGACGCUGAGGCGCGAAAGCCAGGGGAGCAAACGGG